GGAAUCUUCCACAAUGGGCGCAAGCCUGAUGGAGCAACACCGCGUGAGUGAAGAAGGCUUUCGGAUCGUAAAACUCUGUUGUUGGAGAAGAACACGUUUGAGAGUAACUGUUCAGACGUUGACGGUAUCCAACCAGAAAGCCACUGCUAACUACGUGCCAGCAGCCGCGGUCAUACGUAGGUGGCAAGCGUUAUCCGGAUUUAUUGGGCGUAAAGCGAGCGCAGGCGGUUUCUUAAGUCUGAUGUGAAAGCCUUCGGCUUAACCAAAGAAGUGCAUCGGAAACUGUCAGACUUGAGUGCAGAAGAGGACAGUGGAACUCCAUGUGUAGCGGUGGAAUGCGUAGAUAUAUGGAAGAACACCAGUGGCGAAGGCGACUGUCUGGUCUGCAACUGACGCUGAGGCUCGAAAGCAUGGGUAGCGAACA
rnacentral:rRNA from 1 species